GGGUGAUUCCCCUCUAAUCAGGGCCUGAUUUAGACCUGGGACACCAGGUGGGUGAUUCCCCUCUAAUCAGGGCCUGAUUUAGACCUGGGACACCAGGUGGGUGAUUCCCCUCUAAUCAGGGACUGAUUUAGACCUGGGACACCAGGUGGGUGAUUCCCCUCUAAUCAGGGCCUGAUUUAGACCUGGGACACCAGGUGGGUGAUUCCCCUCUAAUCAGGGCCUGAUUUAGACCUGGGACACCAGGUGGGUGAUUCCCCUCUAAUCAGGGCCUGAUUUAGACCUGGGACACCAGGUGGGUGAUUCCCCUCUAAUCAGGGCCUGAUUUAGACCUGGGACACCAGGUGGGUGAUUCCCCUCUAAUCAGGGCCUGAUUUAGACCUGGGACACCAGGUGGGUGAUUCCCCUCUAAUCAGGGACUGAUUUAGACCUGGGACACCAGGUGGGUGAUUCCCCUCUAAUCAGGGCCUGAUUUAGACCUGGGACACCAGG